rnacentral:rRNA from 1 species
UUUCAUGAGAGUUUGAUCCUGGCUCAGGACGAACGCUGGCGGCGUGCCUAAUACAUGCAAGUCGAACGAACGGAGACGAGAGCUUGCUUUCGUCAAAGUGAGUGGCGCACGGGUGAGUAACACGUGGGAAACCUACCCUUCAGCGGGGGAUAACAGUCGGAAACGAUUGCUAAUACCGCAUAGGACU